UUACAAAUACAACCUCAAAGUGGCCUAGGAUCCGCCGGCUUAACACUUGGCCUACGGUGCCGUCUUUACAUAUUGAAAACAGAAAAACAAAAAAAAGAACUUGAUUUCUUUUCUCUUCUUCUUCCUCCUCCGUCUCUCCAUAAGAAAACCACAUGGAUGUAAAUUAAACACCACGACCUUCACAUCAUCCUUCUCCACCACCACCAUAACCCUAUCGAUUCCAUUAAUUUGGUGUUGAUCGAAGAGUAUAUGAAAAACAUAAAGUGAACCCUAAUUACUCGAAAAAUUAGGUUCAAUUUUGUCAGUUGAUCAAAAGGGUUUCUUCUAAAGUAAUCAUUUUGACGAAAUCUGUGUGAUUGAGAUGAGUUCCAUUGUUUGAAUCCCAUUAUGAAGAACACGGUGAAGAAAACGAACAUGUUGGGUUUUGUGAAAAAGAUGAAUUCGAGAAGCGCUGAAGUGGGUGUUUGAUUAUUUGUCUAUCCUUGAUAAUGUAAUUUUUUUAUAUGGAAUUGAUAAUGAACAUAUGGAGAAAUGCAUGACGAGAUUAAGGUAUUGAUUCACUGAGAUGAUUCGAGAGUUAAUGAUAUUGAGAAGCGGCAUCGAUUGCAAUUCUAUUUGGUCAUUUCUGCUUUCGGAGCUCUGGAGGAAUUUUUGAUUAGGAUUUGAUUGAUUCUUGUUUUGAAUUAGGGUUUUUAUUUUAUUUCAUUCCCGUGAAUCUGUUUGGAGUUCUGAGUUGUUGAUAUAUUUGUUAUCAGCAGAGAAUGCUGAUACCGUGUGGGAAAUCAAUCGAUUAAAAUGUUAUUGAAUUAGGGUUACAGAGAAAUCCGGAGGUGGUUGCAGUAGUAAAUGAAAGAGAAUAGAGAAAAGUAGCGGCGACGGAGGGGUAGGAUGAGAAGAUACUGAUGAUGGCGGUGGCGGCGACGAUUUGGAUAAAGAAGAGAAGGUGAAAGCAAGGGUCCUCCGUUGGAGAAUUUGAAGCAAAGCAUGCUCUAAAGUUCUUUCGCAAGAGUUGGUAAUGUUGGUGUAGAAAGGUGUUGUUCCAGGUGUGAAUAUGAUAAGUCAGUGGCAAUGGUGUAAUGCUCGUUUUUUUUAGUGUUAGUUGUAAGAUAUGUUAGCUCUACGGCUCUGCUUUACCUCAUGACCACCAUGCAAAAUAAUUCUAAUUGGAAAGAACCCACAAUUGGGGGAUAUUCAGAGUAAUUGGUGGAUCGUUUUA